GAGAAUGUUUGUCUACGUUAUAAAGUAGUAGAAGAAGAGAAUGUUUGUCUACAUUAUAAAGUAGUAGAAGAAGAGAAUGUUUGUCUACGUUAUAAAGUAGUAGAAGAAGAGUAUGCUACAUGCUACUAAGCUAGUGCUAGUCACGUUCGAGCUCCGGGUCUAACAGGGGGCGCUCGCGAGCCAACACUGGGACCCGGCCCUAUGGCUAAGGAACACUGGUGUAUAGUGGUGCCGGGGGGGACGACCAUCUCUUCGUAAAGAAACACGACUUCAGCGUUUUGGACCUGAGCCAGUAGGAGGAAGAUGCUGAUGAUCAUGAAGAGAAAUACGACACGUGAAUAAUUGACAAGUAGACGUCACUUCUCCAUGUUGUGAUGAGCACAAACACAAUCCGGUUCUUGAAGAGAGGGAACAACUUUUAAAGCCAGCGACUUCUAAAGGGAUCAAAAUGGAGAGGCUGACGGUGAAAAGCUGCUAAAUGAGGAAAGUAAAAGUGGGAGAGAUCAAUUUUGGUAUGGAGUGCAGCUGACGCAAGGCAGCAGCACACACCUGAGCUUGAUUAGCAGCAGCCUAUUUUAACUGGCUGCUGACGGCCGGUGAGCGCCGGAACUUUGCCAUUGCUACCAAACGGUUGGUCGUGCAAGAGGACUCACUAAGUCGCGAACCUUUCACCUCAGGUUGGCCCGUUUAAUCCUAGCCUUGUCUAGCGUUUUAUUUUGGUACC